rnacentral:lncRNA from 1 species
AUCUGCCGUUCUCUCCGGCUUCCCGCCCUCACUCCCCUCGGGUAGUCUGUGCCGUCCGGUGUCCUGUCUGCUGUCGGGACUCUCGUGUUGUCUGGAGUUCCGUACGCUGCCGGAGGCGGCUCGAUGGGACUUGGCCCAGCGCCGCUCCGGAGCCUUGCGCUCCCGGUGCAUGCUGUUCUUGGUGGCUGAGCUUGAGGGGAACUAGGUUCCAGCUGAGUUUGUGUUAAGCGGCGUGUUGGCGUGCACAAACUGGCUUCCUGUCGCUAAAUGUCACUGGUCCAUUUGUUUCUCUGUCCUCAGGCUAAACGCACCAAGAAGGUCGGGAUCGUCGGAAAAUACGGGACCCGCUAUGGUGCCUCCCUCCGGAAAAUGGUGAAGAAAAUUGAAAUCAGCCAGCACGCUAAGUACACUUGCUCCUUCUGUGGCAAGACCAAGAUGAAGAGACGAGCCGUUGGCAUCUGGCAUUGUGGUUCCUGCAUGAAAACAGUGGCCGGUGGGGCCUGGACCUACAAGUGAGUGUUUUUCUUUGUGGUGUAGGAAAGUCUAUGGACCGCACAGCUGUUGUUCCAGGUCUGGCACAUGUUGGACUAGUUUCAGUUUUAUGAUUGGUAAAGCAAAUAGGCUUUUGGGUUUGUCAGGGCUGCAGAGUGGAACCCUGUCUCAAAAAACGAGGUUAUGGUUUCUCUACAUUAAAAUGGAGAUUCUCCUAUUCCUUUGAGUUGUACAGUCAACUAGGGUCUUUGGAACUGGAAAAUUAUGGUUUGUCUAAGUCCAUUGGCGUUUGUACCGAACUUGAACACUGCAAGUUAAUGAGGUUGGUAGAAAGAUUUGAGGCUAUUUGGGCAUAUUUAGUGCUGUGACUCUGACAGAACCAGGUGAGAUGCUGAGAUGAAGCCUCCUGUCUGUCAUUGUUUGCUUUGUUCUUAAGAGCUUUAGCAUUUC